rnacentral:rRNA from 1 species
CCUACGGGAGGCUGCAGUGAGGAAUAUUGGUCAAUGGACGAGAGUCUGAACCAGCCAAGUAGCGUGAAGGAUGACUGCCCUAUGGGUUGUAAACUUCUUUUAUAUGGGAAUAAAAUGUUCCACGUGUGAGAUUUUGUAUGUACCAUAUGAAUAAGGAUCGGCUAACUCCGUGCCAGCAGCCGUGGUAAUACGGAGGAUCCGAGCGUUAUCCGGAUUUAUUGGGUUUAAAGGGAGCGUAGGUGGAUUGUUAAGUCAGUUGUGAAAGUUUGCGGCUCAACCGUAAAAUUGCAGUUGAAACUGGCAGUCUUGAGUACAGUAGAGGUGGGCGGAAUUCGUGGUGUAGCGGUGAAAUGCUUAGAUAUCACGAAGAACUCCGAUUGCGAAGGCAGUUCACUGGACUGCAACUGACACUGAGGCUCGAAAGUGUGGGUAUCAAACAGGAUUAGAUACCCGUGUAGUC